rnacentral:rRNA from 1 species
CCUACGGGGUGCAGCAGUGGGGAAUAUUGCACAAUGGGCGAAAGCCUGAUGCAGCAACGCCGCGUGAAGGAAGAAGGGUUUCGGCUCGUAAACUUCUAUCAACAGGGACGAAAGAAAUGACGGUACCUGAAUAAGAAGCCCCGGCUAACUACGUGCCAGCAGCCGCGGUAAUACGUAGGGGGCAAGCGUUAUCCGGAUUUACUGGGUGUAAAGGGAGCGUAGACGGCAAGGCAAGCCAGAAGUGAAAGGGCAGGGCUCAACCCUGUACAUGCUUUUGGAACUGUGGUGCUAGAGUGCAGGAGAGGUAAGUGGAAUUCCUAGUGUAGCGGUGAAAUGCGUAGAUAUUAGGAGGAACACCAGUGGUGAAGGCGGCUUACUGGACUGUAACUGACGUUGAGGCUCGAAAGCGUGGGGAGCAAACAGGAUUAGAUACCCUAGUAGUC